rnacentral:rRNA from 1 species
GGCGAACGCUGGCGGCGUGCUUAACACAUGCAAGUCGAACGGGCCUGUCUUCUUUUUUGGGGGUGGGUUGAGUGGCGAACGGGUGAGUAUCACGUGAGUAACCUGCCCUUCGGUCCUGGAUAACCGCUUGAAAGGGCGGCUAAUACGGGGUGGUCCGGUUGGUCCGCAUGGGCUGGUCGGGAUAGAUUCACUGUUUUUGGUGUUUCGGCGGGGGAUGGGCUCGCGGCCUAUCAGCUUGUUGGUGGGGUGAUGGCCUACCAAGGCGGUGACGGGUAGCCGGCCUGAGAGGGUGGGCGGCCACACUGGGACUGAGAUACGGCCCAGACUCCUGCGGGAGGCAGCAGUGGGGGGUAUUGCACAAUGGGCGGAAGCCUGAUGCAGCGACGUCGCGUGAGGGAUGGAGGCCUUCGGGUUGUGAACCUCUGUUUCCGGUGGUGAAGGCCCUGUCCGUGUGGUGGGGUUGACGGUAGCCGGGGAUGAAGCGCCGGCUAACUACGUG